UACGGGGGGGCAAGCGGUUGUUCGGAAUUACUGGGCGUAAAGGGCGCGUAGGCGGUUUGCUAAGUUGGAUGUGAAACUCUGGGCUUAACCCAGAGCCUGCAUCCAAAACUGGCAAACUUGAGUACUGGAGGGGAAAGCGGAAUUCCUGGUGUAGCGGUGAAAUGCGUAGAUAUCAGGAGGAACACCGGUGGCGAAGGCGGCUUUCUGGACAGUAACUGACGCUGGAGGCGCGAAAGCUAGGGGAGCAAACAGG
rnacentral:rRNA from 1 species